UAUUGCACAAUGGGGGAAACCCUGAUGCAGCGACGCCGCGCGAAGGAAGAAGUAUCUCGGUAUGUAAACUUCUAUCAGCAGGGAAGAAAAUGACGGUACCUGACUAAGAAGCCCCCGCUAACUACGUGCCAGCAGCCGCGGUAAUACGUAGGGGGCAAGCGUUAUCCGGAUUUACUGGGUGUAAAGGGAGCGUAGACGGAAGAGCAAGUCUGAGGUGAAAGGCUGGGGCUUAACCCCAGGACUGCAUUGGAAACUGUUGUUCUAGAGGGCCGGAGAGGUAGGCGGAAUUCCCAGUGUAGCGGUGAAAUGCGUAGAUAUUAGGAGAAACACCAGUGGCGAAGGCGGCUUACUGGACGGUAACUGACGUUGAGGCUCGAAAGCGUGGGGAGCAAAAA
rnacentral:rRNA from 1 species